GUUUUGGUCAUUUGAACAUUAGAAAAUUCGAAUUUGUUUCGGAUUUCGAUAUUCGAAUUUCGGAUUUCUUAACAUUCGGAACUCCGAAAGUUGAGUCAGAUAUUAAAGGAGCAUGAGCUAGCAAGUUUAGUGAGGUGCUCGGUGAGAGCGUGCCUUUUGCAUAAUGGGCCAGCGAGUUAAUCUGCAGUGCGAGGUUAAGCUGUAAAGCGGAGCCGUAGCGAAAGCGAGUCUGAAAAGGGCGAAUUAGUACUGCGGAUUAGACCCGAAGCCGAGUGAUCUAUCCAUGGGCAGGGUGAAGCCCCGGUAACACGGGGUGGAGGCCCGAACCAGUGAAGGUUGAAAACUUCUUGGAUGACCUGUGGAUAGGGGUGAAAGGCCAAUCAAACUCGGUGAUAGCUGGUUCUCCCCGAAAUAUAUUGAGGUAUAGCCUCGGGUGUUUACUUGCGGAGGUAGAGCACUGAAAGGGCUAGGGGCCCCACCAGGUUACCAAACCCUAUCAAACUCCGAAUGCCGUAAGUAUAAGCCCGGGAGUCAGACUAUGGGUGAGAAGGUCCAUGGUCGAGAGGGAAACAGCCCGGACCGUCGGCUAAGGUCCCCAAAUCCAUGCUAAGUGGGAAAGGAGGUGGAACCGCCCAGACAGCCAGGAGGUUGGCUUAGAAGCAGCCAUCCUUUAAAGAAAGCGUAAUAGCUCACUGGUCUAGUGGUUCUGCGCCGAAGAUGUAACGGGGCUAAGCAUGGUACCGAAGCCACGGGUCGAUUCUAAGGAAUCGGCGGUAGGGGAGCGUUCUCCUAAGGGAUGAAGGUAUGCCGUGAGGUAUGCUGGACUAAGGAGAAGUGAUAAUGCUGGCAUGAGUAACGAUAAAACGGGUGAGAAACCCGUUCGCCGUAAACCCAAGGUUUCCUGGGUAAAGCUAAUCUGCCCAGGGUUAGUCGGCCCCUAAGGCGAGGCCGAAAGGCGUAGCUGAUGGGAAACAGGUUAAUAUUCCUGUACCUGCUGGGUAGUCGUUUGAGCGAAGGGGGGACGCAGGAGGGUAGGUCAGCCACCUGUUGGAAUAGGUGGUUCAAGCCUGUAGGCUGGGGACUCAGGCAAAUCCGGGUCCCUGUUAAGGCUGAGAGGUGAUGACGAGUCAAUAAAGACGGAAGUGACUGAGCCCAUGCUGCCGAGAAAAGCCUCUAAGCGAGACUACCUGGUGGACCGUACCGCAAACCGACACAGGUGGGUGGGGUGAGUAACCCAAGGCGCUUGAGAGAACUCUGGCUAAGGAACUCGGCAAAAUGACCCCGUAACUUCGGGAGAAGGGGUGCUCUUGCGGGUGAAGGGAUUUAACUUCUGGAGCCUGGGAGAGCCGCAGAGAAAUGGCGGGGGCGACUGUUUACUAAAAACACAGGUCUCUGCUAAGUCGUAAGACGAAGUAUAGGGACUGACGCCUGCCCGGUGCCGGAAGGUUAAGGGGAUCAGUUAGCCUUCGGGCGAAGCUGUGAACCGAAGCCCCGGUAAACGGCGGCCGUAACUAUAACGGUCCUAAGGUAGCGAAAUUCCUUGUCGG
rnacentral:rRNA from 1 species